rnacentral:rRNA from 1 species
AGAGUUUGAUCCUGGCUCAGGAUGAACGCUGGCGGCGUGCCUAACACAUGCAAGUCGAACGGAACUUCUUUGACAGAAUUCUUCGGAAGGAAGUUGAUUAAGUUUAGUGGCGGACGGGUGAGUAACGCGUGAGUAACCUGCCUUUGAGAGGGGAAUAACUUCCCGAAAGGGAUGCUAAUACCGCAUGAAGCAUAUUUAUCGCAUGGUAGAUAUGCCAAAGAUUUAUCGCUCAAAGAUGGACUCGCGUCCGAUUAGCCAGUUGGCGGGGUAACGGCCCACCAAAGCGACGAUCGGUAGCCGGACUGAGAGGUUGAACGGCCACAUUGGGACUGAGACACGGCCCAGACUCCUACGGGAGGCAGCAGUGGGGGAUAUUGCGCAAUGGGGGAAACCCUGACGCAGCAACGCCGCGUGAAGGAUGAAGGUUUUCGGAUUGUAAACUUCUUUUAUUUAGGACGAACAAUGACGGUACUAAAUGAAUAAGCUCCGGCUAACUACGUGCCAGCAGCCGCGGUAAUACGUAGGGAGCAAGCGUUAUCCGGAUUUACUGGGUGUAAAGGGUGCGUAGGCGGCUUGGUAAGUCAGAUGUGAAAUGUAUGGGCUCAACCCAUGCACUGCAUUUGAAACUAUUGAGCUUGAGUGAAGUAGAGGUAGGCGGAAUUCCCUGUGUAGCGGUGAAAUGCGUAGAGAUAGGGAGGAACACCAGUGGCGAAGGCGGCCUACUGGGCUUUAACUGACGCUGAGGCACGAAAGCGUGGGUAGCAAACAGGAUUAGAUACCCUGGUAGUCCACGCUGUAAACGAUGAUUACUAGGUGUGGGGGGGUCUGACCCCUUCCGUGCCGGAG